ACCCAGGACCUCCCUGGGCCACCCAGCUGCCCCUUCACUAACAUUUUAGUCAGUUGCUCUUGUGUUCCAUUAUUCCUUUCCUUUGAAGAAAUGAAUGCUGCUGCCACACUUGCUAAUGUAGAUAAAAGGCAAAGUUGAAAGCUAAUUCCUGGGCAGCCUAGUAGACAUCUAGGUGGGAGCCCAAGGUCAUGUUCUCCCCAUCCCUCUCCAGCCCCCAAACCAAUCUCUCUCCUUACUCAGCAGGUUCUUUUCCGUUUCCCCAAAGUUACUUUGUGUCUUCAGGGAUAGGAGCAUCCUUGACUGGAGCAUUUCCUCCCAUAGUCUCCUUUAGCCUGUUCCCUCACUGUCUUUCCAUCCAGGGACAGGAUCCUCUUCCUGCUGCGGCUGCUGGCCGAUUACGUUCCUGGCGUUGGUUUAGUCACCCGGCCACUGAUGGACUACUUGCCUGCUUGGCAGAAAAUUUAUUUCUACAAUUGGGGCUGACAGGAGAUCCAGGGCUGAGGAGGGCUGCUGAGAGGGUGGGGGGUGUGGGGGCAUGAUCUGCUGCAGGCAUCAGGCAGCCCAUCCCUUCAGCCCCUCAGCUCCUCUGUCCUCUAAUAAAACUGCCCCCCGGUGAUGCUCCUAA